UUAAAAAAAAUUUCGGAGCAGGAGCGGAGUCGGAGUCAAAAGUUUCGGAGUCGGAUUGGAGCAAGAGUCCAAAAUUUCUGACUCCGGACACCUCUAAUAAGCUGAUACAGCCUCAGCAAC
rnacentral:precursor_RNA from 10 species